AUUGAACGCUAGCGGGAUGCCUUACACAUGCAAGUCGAACGGAGUGGCGAACGGGUGAGUAAUGUAUCUGAACGUGCCCAUUAGCGGGGGAUAACUACGCGAAAGCGUAGCUAAUACCUCAUACUCUUGGCGCGGCCGAUAUCGGAUUAGCUAGUUGGUGGGGUAACGGCGCACCCAGGCGACGAUCCGUAGCUGGUUUGAGAGGACGACCAGCCAAACGGGGACUGAGACACGGCCCAGACUCCUACGGGAGGCAGCAGUGGGGAAUUUUGGACAAUGGGGGAAACCCUGAUCCAGCCAUCCCGCGUGUGCGAUGAAGGCCUUCGGGUUGUAAAGCACUUUUGGCAGGAAAGCGGUACCUGCAGAAUAAGCACCGGCUAACUACGUGCCAGCAGCCGCGGUAAUAC
rnacentral:rRNA from 1 species